UUUAGGUCUUUGGAGCCACACUCAGAGUACACGAAGGGUAGGAAAAACCACACGAGGCAAAGAACUUACAUCAAGACCAGGCCUAAAAUACAUUAAUGUGGGUGGUUCAGCACAAGGGCAGUUGUCUGAUAGCUAUAAUGAAGAAGAGUAUGACUGUCCCAUUUCAGAUGAAGAUAAGAGUAAUUGAUGAGUCAGAUAACCAUAUGAGAGAAGGUAAAGAUACUGCUGAUUACCAUGGUUGUGGUUUCUUCCCUGAACACUGGCUUCACAUAGUUUUUUGUGCUGAGAACAGAUACCAACCAGUGUAUUGUACACAAGACUUAAACAAGGGGUUAAGGUCAGAAGAAACUAAAAGACAAUACUCAGUGUGAGAUUUCUCACUCUUUAUGAAGCCACAAUAUCCUACAAGGAAAAACCAGGCAUCAACUAUUCAGCAAUAAACCAGAAGAGCUAGAAAAUAAUAUAGAUCAGAUCUUGAAAUAAAUUGAAAAGUGGAUCAAAGAUCGU
rnacentral:lncRNA from 1 species